rnacentral:rRNA from 1 species
AGAGUUUGAUCCUGGCUCAGGAUGAACGCUGGCGGCGUGCUUAACACAUGCAAGUCGAACGGGGGCGUGAUGUGCGAGAGGGAUAGUUUACUAGACUUCAAACUUUUCACGCCCUAGUGGCGGACGGGUGAGUAACGCGUGGGUAACCUGCCAUAUACAGGGGGAUAACACUUAGAAAUAGGUGCUAAUACCGCAUAAGCGCUCAGGGGCGCAUGCCCCGGUGUGAAAAACUCCGGUGGUAUAUGAUGGACCCGCGUCUGAUUAGCCAGUUGGCAGGGUAACGGCCUACCAAAGCGACGAUCAGUAGCCGGCCUGAGAGGGUGAACGGCCACAUUGGGACUGAGACACGGCCCAGACUCCUGCGGGAGGCAGCAGUGGGGAAUAUUGCACAAUGGGGGAAACCCUGAUGCAGCGACGCCGCGUGAGUGAAGAAGUAUUUCGGUAUGUAAAGCUCUAUCAGCAGGGAAGAAAUAGCGACCUUUGGGUCGCCAGACGGUACCUGAUUAAGAAGCCCCGGCUAACUACGUGCCAGCAGCCGCGGUAAUACGUAGGGGGCAAGCGUUAUCCGGAUUUACUGGGUGUAAAGGGAGCGUAGACGGCAUUGCAAGUCCGGAGUGAAAGCCCGGGGCCCAACCCCGGGACUGCCCUUGGAACUGCAUGGCUGGAGUGCGGGAGGGGCAGGCGGAAUUCCUGGUGUAGCGGUGAAAUGCGUAGAUAUCAGGAGGAACACCGGCGGCGAAGGCGGCCUGCUGGACCGCGACUGACGUUGAGGCUCGAAAGCGUGGGGAGCGAACAGGAUUAGAUACCCUGGUAGUCCACGCCGUAAACGAUGACUACUAGGUGUCGGGGGACGACAGUGCCCCGGUGCCGGCGCAAACGCAAUAAGUAGUCCACCUGGGGAGUACGUCCGCAAGGAUGAAACUCAAAGGAAUUGACGGGGACCCGCACAAGCGGUGGAGCAUGUGGUUUAAUUCGAAGCGACGCGAAGAACCUUACCCGGCCUUGACAUCCCCACGGAUGCAGGGCAAUGCCUGCAGCCCCUCGGGGCGUGGGAGACAGGUGGUGCAUGGUUGUCGUCAGCUCGUGUCGUGAGAUGUUGGGUCAAGUCCCGCAACGAGCGCAACCCCUGCCCCUAGUAGCCAGCACGUGGUGGUGGGCACUCUAGGGGGACUGCCGGGGACAACCCGGAGGAAGGCGGGGACGACGUCAAAUCAUCAUGCCCCUUAUGGCCGAGGCUACACACGUGCUACAAUGGCGCGCACAGAGGGAGGCGAGCGGGCGACCGUGAGCGAAGCCCGGAAAGCGCGCCCCAGUUCGGAUUGCAGCCUGCAACUCGGCUGCAUGAAGCCGGAAUCGCUAGUAAUCGCGGAUCAGAACGCCGCGGUGAAUACGUUCCCGGGUCUUGUACACACCGCCCG